GAGCCUCAGGCAGGCUGGGGCAGUGCCCCACCACUGCUGAUGGGAAAGCAGAAGGCAAUCAUCUCUCUCAGCACUUCUGUUGCUCCUUGGACUACGUGAAGCUGCUCCAGGCACAGAAGAGUCCAGCACAGCCACUGAGGAUUCCCCUGUGGGCAGUGGACAAGGAUCCCAGCAACCCUAAGUAAGCAUUUACAAAUGAGCUAUAAAAUUGCGUGAUCCUCCUUUUCUCACUGAGAUGGGAAUUUAGAAGUGUGCACACCUUCUUCUCAGAGAUUUUUAAGAACAUAACAUGGAAGAUUUCAUAGGCUAAGUAUGCUGCACCAUUGCUGUCAAGUUUAGGUGAGAUUAAGUUUAAUCUCACUGGGCAUCAGUGUUACUCAAACCUUCCUCCUGCCUGAGAAAUCUUCCCAGCCACCUUCAGAGUGCUUGUGCUGUCACUCUGAAGUUACACUAACCUGCACAAGGCUGCCAGUAGGGAAAUCUCACCAUUUCCUUUUCCUCUGGAUGAAGUGUUGGAUUUGCACCUUUUGCAAAUGAACACAAGGCUGCUGUGGGCAGAGAAAUGGUCUGUUCAAAUCCAGCUCUCUUACUGAUGGCCGAGGCUGUAUGAGCCUGAGCUCUGGAGGGAAACAGAACAUCACUCCUGUUGGUGAUUCAAGCUGUCAGCUUUGAUCACUAUUCUGGGAAGGACUGUGACUGCAUAAGAAGUCUCUAUCUCUCAGUUUGUGCCUCAUUCAGGAAUCUCAGGUUUCACCCCAAAAAGUUGUCUGAGACAAACACAUUUCCAACGCUGAGCACUGGGAUGCAUGUGACACAGCCAAAUCUCCCAAGACAGUUUUCUGAAGGAAUCCAUAUGCUUGCUGCUGUCAACACUUUGCUUAAUAGUUGUAAAGUUACAUUGGUUUUCUCAGUACUGUAACGUCCCAAUGACAUUAGGCAAGAAUGCCUGUACAAGUCUAUUACCACAUACUCAGCAAGUAUUACCAGACAAGAAAGAAGCACAACUCUUCAAGUACUGGGAGAAAGGUUGUCCUAGUUCUUUGGAAAUCUUCUUCGUUUCUUCUUUGACCUAGCAAAGACCUUAAACUGCCCAGUGGUUUCUUCAAGGUUUUGCAAUCAUGAGGCAUAGCCUGGCCACUUUCUGAAUUCAUUUGAGAAAAGUCUUUGGAAAUGGCAUAUCAAAAGAAGUGAAGCAGGACUAGCUGUAUUAGCUCCUGGUUUAAAACAAAAAAAAAAAAGAAAAAAAAAAAGGGGGGGGCAGGGCUGUGGCCUUCAGUGAGAAACUGAGCUCACUUGCUCUGUGAGGCAGAGGCAAGGUUGUGAUGGGGCAGUCUGAGGCACACUUGGAGUUUCAAGCAGAGAAGAAAACGUACAACAAAGGGUAGAGCAUUAUUGUGGUGUUGCUGGCUCCUCCUUCUUGCAGCACGUGAUGCAGAAUGGCCCUAGGAAGGUGCUUCAGCUCUGGUACUGUGUGUCUUCUCUUGCAUGUGGAAGCUGCCAAGGGAUCUCUCAGUUGUCCUUGCCCAAAGACAUCCCUGUCAUCAAUCUGCAGUGGGCCCAGUCCUGUCAAGUGAGCAGACUGUCUGGUACUGUCACACAGAAAUCUCAGACUGAGGGAUUCUUUACAAAGGCUUGUGAGGGGGAUAUCCUGUACUCCAUCUUUUUUUCUCUACAGCUCCUCUGGCCCCCUCCUCCCACUUCCACACCCUGGGCUCAAGUUUCUAAGUCUUUUGAACUAUUUUAAAAAAUGUACAACUUGUCCUCUAAGACAUAGGAAAUUACAUUUGAUGGUCUAUUGUAUAAGAAUUUCCAUAUUUAGACAAAAAUCAACAGAUACAAUCUCUGAUUUCCUUUCCCCAUACUCCUCAUAUUUGCCUCUUCUUGCACCGCUUGCUUUGGCUGCUGCCAUGGUGUAGCAGAGGCAGACGUCAUCAAUUAGAAGAAGGAUUUAUAACUAGUGAGAGGUAUAAUCAAGGAGCCUGCUCCUCCAGAUACUGUGUACUCACCUUGGUCUGGGUUGUCUGCCCCACAGCUCACAUCUGAAUUUUGAUGCUUUUAAAGGUACUUCAAAGAUAAGCUUCUACUCAGUCUGUGCAAAAUAUAUGUCGCAUAUAAGGCAAUUUCAGCUCCCUUCUGUACAAAUUCUGAAGCAGCCUUUCUAAGGCUUUAUGAAACAGAGGUCAGUGAUAUUAGACUGGAUUAAUUGUGUAGCUAAACUCCUAAAAGGAUUUCUAAACAUUAAUUUUGGGUUUCUUGUUGUUAACUAUUUGGUGUAACCAUGGUGUAAAUUUUCUCAGUGGCAGUCAACUCAGCAACAAUACUGACUGAGGAAGGGACUCAGUAACAAGAGCUCAAAAACUUUGCGAUAGCUAAACCCAUUUGUAGAAAUCCUGAAGGGGAAUACUAGAAAGCAGAGUAAAGUCCGAAUAAUAUGUUAAAAUAUCAAUACAAUAAAAAUUAAGCUUUCUGAUGAAAAAUUAAAUUCCUCGAGACCCUUAAAAAAAGUAUGAUUCUGGCUAAUUUUAAGACAAGAAAAUGACUGAUGAAUUCAGCAAAUAAGUUUAAAAAACUCCAGCUAUCCCUCCAAAAAACCCAAAACCCCUAUGAAAUUAAGGGAACAGCUACAAUUUAUCAUUUGCACUUGAGACAGGACUUUGGCCUUUGUCAAUUUAGACAAGAAGAGUCAUUCUUAUACUCAGUCUCCAAAUUGUGGGAUGGACUUCCUUUGAAACAAAAGACACUUGCUAAGAUCCAGUUUCUACUCUGACAACAGCACAGACAUUAACCUUUCCUUUCCCAAAACAAACACACAUUUCUCUAUCUAUUGUAUGCAUAAAUUCCUUCCUGGGUGGAAUUUAUGAGAAAAUACAUCAUGUACAGCAGAAGCAGGUCACCUCUUACAGCACAAAUUAAAAGCUCCUGCACUUUGAUAUCCAAAGUGAUCCAGGUGCCCAUCUCUGACUGGCAAGGAUUCCAGCAUAGUUAGAAAAUGAAACUUUCAUGAAAUGUUGUUUAAAAAAUCGGAGGGCUCAAGUCCAAAGGAAAAAAAGUAUUUUUUUGCUUUGUAGCAUUGGAUUUUUAUUGCAAAAUUAGGCAGAUCAUUAUAAAUGAAAAGUUAAUGCUUUUUACUUUUAACUCCCCAACCUCUCUAUGUAUUUAGAAUAGCCUUCACUGUUUAGAGAGCACAUGUAAGGUUUGCAAACUGGCCAAUUGUUGUGCAAUAAAUCAGUUUAUAAUAUAUAGGUUCAGCUAAUCCAUAUUUUCCAUUGUCAGUCUUCUGCCUUAUUUAUUAGUCUACAAAAGAGUGUUUUGCACUGUGAAAUACCCAUGUAACUACAAUGUUUGUAUUCACAUGGAGAAAAUUAUAAGCACAUGAAAGUAAAGCACAUUCCUCAUGAUCUUUAUGCUGCUUGAAGAUUAAGAAUACAAUAGAUUAAAAGAAUCCAGGAAUAAGUUGGUCUACGGGGGGCAGUCACAAUAUUUGUGUAAGCCUAUGCUGCUUUAAUAUGUGAAUUACAAAUAAAGACCUAAUAGAAAUGUUUGAAUAUUUUUUGAAACACACAAACUAUAUGGCCUCGCCCCCCUUUGGUUUUUGUGUUUCAGAAGUAAAGUUGAUCAAAAAAAGUUUGUGG